GACGAACGCUGGCGGCGUGCUUAACACAUGCAAGUCGAACGGAAAGGCCCUGCUUUUGUGGGGUGCUCGAGUGGCGAACGGGUGAGUAACACGUGAGUAACCUGCCCUUGACUUUGGGAUAACUUCAGGAAACUGGGGCUAAUACCGGAUAGGAGCUCCUGCUGCAUGGUGGGGGUUGGAAAGUUUCGGCGGUUGGGGAUGGACUCGCGGCUUAUCAGCUUGUUGGUGGGUAGUGGCUUACCAAGGCUUUGACGGGUAGCCGGCCUGGGAGGGUGACCGGCCACAUUGGGACUGAGAUACGGCCCAGACUCCUACGGGAGGCAGCAGUGGGGAAUAUUGCACAAUGGGCGGAAGCCUGAUGCAGCAACGCCGCGUGCGGGAUGACGGCCUUCGGGUUGUAAACCGCUUUCGCCUGUGACGAAGCGUGAGUGACGGUAAUGGGUAAAGAAGCACCGGCUAACUACGUG
rnacentral:rRNA from 1 species